rnacentral:rRNA from 1 species
GACCAUCUCCUAAGGCUAAAUACUCUCUAGUGACCGAUAGUGAACCAGUACCGUGAGGGAAAGGUGAAAAGCACCCCGGAAGGGGAGUGAAAUAGAACCUGAAACCGUGUGCUUACAAGUAGUCAGAGCCCGUUAAUGGGUGAUGGCGUGCCUUUUGUAGAAUGAACCGGCGAGUUACGAUUUGAUGCAAGGUUAAGCAGUAAAUGUGGAGCCGUAGCGAAAGCGAGUCUGAAUAGGGCGUUUAGUAUUUGGUCGUAGACCCGAAACCAGGUGAUCUACCCUUGGUCAGGUUGAAGUUCAGGUAACACUGAAUGGAGGACCGAACCGACUUACGUUGAAAAGUGAGCGGAUGAACUGAGGGUAGCGGAGAAAUUCCAAUCGAACCUGGAGAUAGCUGGUUCUCUCCGAAAUAGCUUUAGGGCUAGCCUCAAGUGAUGAUUAUUGGAGGUAGAGCACUGUUUGGACGAGGGGCCCCUCUCGGGUUACCGAAUUCAGACAAACUCCGAAUGCCAAUUAAUUUAACUUGGGAGUCAGAACAUGGGUGAUAAGGUCCGUGUUCGAAAGGGAAACAGCCCAGACCACCAGCUAAGGUCCCAAAAUAUAUGUUAAGUGGAAAAGGAUGUGGCGUUGCCCAGACAACUAGGAUGUUGGCUUAGAAGCAGCCAUCAUUUAAAGAGUGCGUAAUAGCUCACUAGUCGAGUGACACUGCGCCGAAAAUGUACCGGGGCUAAACAUAUUACCGAAGCUGUGGAUUGUCCUUUGGACAAUGGUAGGAGAGCGUUCUAAGGGCGUUGAAGCAUGAUCGUAAGGACAUGUGGAGCGCUUAGAAGUGAGAAUGCCGGUGUGAGUAGCGAAAGACGGGUGAGAAUCCCGUCCACCGAUUGACUAAGGUUUCCAGAGGAAGGCUCGUCCGCUCUGGGUUAGUCGGGUCCUAAGCUGAGGCCGACAGGCGUAGGCGAUGGAUAACAGGUUGAUAUUCCUGUACCACCUAUAAUCGUUUUAAUCGAUGGGGGGACGCAGUAGGAUAGGCGAAGCGUGCGAUUGGAUUGCACGUCUAAGCAGUAAGGCUGAGUAUUAGGCAAAUCCGGUACUCGUUAAGGCUGAGCUGUGAUGGGGAGAAGACAUUGUGUCUUCGAGUCGUUGAUUUCACACUGCCGAGAAAAGCCUCUAGAUAGAAAAUAGG